CCUCUCUCGUACGAACGCCCGACGCCGACGAUGCGCGAUCUCCACCCCGAUCGCAGCCUCGUUGAGUCGCCGGAGGAAGAGCCGCUGGAUAUCGAAGGGGAUCGAUUAUCUCCGGCGUAGUAGGCAUCUCGGUGGCUGUUUCUUGCUGGCAAGUGAUGGUGAUCCAGUGGCUAGGGCACGGCGGGGCUAAGGCCGAUCAAGCCCUUUCGCUUCUCCCCUUCGAUCUGGGCAUUGGAGGGCAAGUUGGGUCAUCACCAGUGGGAGUGGAUCACGCGACACCAUUGGAGGUGAUCGAUUGAGGAUGGAGGAUGCUUCGGAUCAAUCUAGUGAUGGAUCUUCCUUGAGCAGGACUUCAUCUUCUCCAAUUCUUGCGGCUGGGUUCUGUGGAAGCUGUCGGAUGAGGAGGCAUUUUUGUAGAUUUUGGACAGUGGGAGUAGGGGCUGUGAGCUCUUGAGUUGUGGCACUAUCUCGAGGU